rnacentral:rRNA from 1 species
CGGACGGGUGAGUAACGCGUGGAUAACCUGCCUUUCACAGGGGGAUAACAGCUGGAAACGGCUGCUAAUACCGCAUGAGCCUCUUUUGUCGCAUGACGGGAGAGGGAAAGAGAAAUCGGUGAGAGAUGGAUCCGCGUCCGAUUAGCUAGUUGGAGGGGUGACAGCCCACCAAGGCGACGAUCGGUAGCCGACCUGAGAGGGUGGACGGCCACAUUGGGACUGAGACACGGCCCAAACUCCUACGGGAGGCAGCAG